rnacentral:lncRNA from 1 species
UUUUAUUAUUAUUAUUAUUAUUAUUAUUUUAUUAUAUUUUUAGUCUUUCAUUAUUAUUAUUUUAAAUAAAGGCCUGAUAUAAUGAUAAACCAAAAAGAUACAAAAGAGUGUUGCUAAAUUGCAAACUCAAUAAAAAGACAAAUUUAAAGAAAGACAUAUUUUGAAUAAAAUUCUUCUUAAUGUCCAACGAGAUAGAAAAAAAAUAGUUACACAAUUAUAAGUCAGACCUAAAUUAGAAAAAAAAAU